CCGCCGGUCACGCGUCCGCCAGUCGUCGGCCCGCCCAAGGGCCCCGUCACGCGCCCGCCGGUCACGCGUCCGCCGGUCGUCGGACCACCGGUGACCUACCCGCCGAUCAUCGGCCCACCGGUCACGCGUCCGCCGGUCGUCGGGCCACCGGUGACCUACCCGCCGAUUACCGGCCCUCCGACGACGCCGCCGGUCGUCGGCCCACCGGUCACCUACCCGCCGAUCACCGGCCCUCCGUCAACCACGCCUCCGAUCACCGGCCCGCCGUCGACGACGCCCCCAGUCACCGGUCCGCCCGUGACCUACCCGCCCGGCGGAGGCGGCGGCAGCUCGACGCCGUGCCCGCCGCCGCCACCGCCAUCUACCCCGACCCCGACGCCGUCGUCGCCGACGUGCCCGGCGGACUCGCUGAAGCUGGGCGCGUGCGUAGACCUGCUGGGCGGGCUGGUGCACAUCGGCCUGGGCGACCCGGUGGUGAACAAGUG
rnacentral:lncRNA from 1 species